UAGAUAAAGUGAGCUGGGAGAGUAAUUAAAAGGCAGGGUUCUCCCUGUGCCAGUGAGCCUCAGGUGAGAAACUGGCCCGUAACCUCAAAGGCAGGAGAGGUUCAGCUCCAAGAAUAUGCACCAUGAAGCCUGAAACCAAAGUCACCCAGGGCACUUUGCGAUGGCGUGGGGAGCCCUUCUGAGCCUUGCAUUCAUCGCAUCGAGAGGUUUUUUUCUUUUUUAAUCAAGAGCAGUUGCAAACAUGCCUCAGAUCGCAGGACGGCUUUAUCUGCCAUCUCGUUCAGAUGUGGGGAGGGUGGGGGGAAAUAGGACCCACAUGUUAUCAGCUGAUAUAUGAAAUAGAGAGAGGAUUAUUAAGGAGGAUAAAGGCCACAAGGAAAGAGGAGCCAUGCCUGCUGCUGAGACCCAUCUCUCCCUCCAAGCCUACGCUCCCUCCUCUCCCUUUUCCUUACAAACUCCAGUUAAAUGAUGAAAAGGCUGGUGUCAGGGCUUCAGGAUUUAUGUGGAUAACGGCGCAGUGAGGCCUGGCAUUAGAGAAUUGGAUCCACGUGUUGCUCCUGCAGGAUGAUCUAUGGACAGGUUUCUGGGGAUCAGCAGAAAAGUGAAAUAUGACGGCGGCUCUCCGGCUGGCUCUAAUCUCGCCCCACUCCCAUGUCCCCAACCUGCCGGCAGUUCCUCCCAGCUGUCUGCCAGCCCACGUGCCCUGCACCACCUCAAUUACUUCUCUGUGGCUCGUGGGUGCUCCUCUGGAGUGGCCCAUCCAUGAAGAGUGGCUCAGGAGCACCAGCCAGGGCCAGGCAUCCCGGGAUGCUGCAGCCCGGCGCGGGCUGGACCCGAUGGAGAGGUCAGGAGGCUGCGCAGUGCCCCGGGGUUAAGGCACCCACGUGGGUCAAUCCGUCCUUGCUACCGUCCCCUCGUCUGUCUGUCCCGGGCCACUGCACUCCUACAAGAUGAUGGGUGCCAUGAGCUGGAGUGAGCAUCCCAGGGAACUGAGCAUCCUUUUGCUAUCAUCUGAGAGAUUAUUCAGGUUCAUGUGUGACUCAGUACUCGUGGGAUUGCACUGAAUCAGAAUGAAUGCGCUCAUGAAUUGAUAAGGGUGUCAUGAAGGGUGCAAGACUGAUGAAAAAUAGAUGAGAUGGUGUAAAUAUGCUCAAGAGCUGAAUGACAACUGUUAGCCCGGCAAUGCCGAAUUUAAGCAGGCCCUGUCAAUAGCAUUAGAGAUGCUGCACCAGAUUUUCCAAGGCUGCUUGCAAAUUGACCUAAUGUUCCUGUUGACACAAAACCUUGAAAGCGCAGCUAAAAGCGGCAUUGCUGAACACUCCUGAGUUGCUCACAGAUUGCCGUCAGAAGUGAGCAUGAAAGAAAAUACUUGCCUAUGCAUCCAGGAGAGGGGAAAAUAGUGAAUUAACUGUGCACACAAAUGCAUGAUAUUACCUUCCAGAAGCGUAGAGCAGAGAAGGAACCUGCCAGCAUUGGGAGGAGUUUCCUUGUCAUUCACUGAACUGUGGUUUUUGGUUUGGUGGGAAAUCUGGGUGUGCACAUGCAACGUUGAUCAGUCUUCAGCCUUGACUGCGGUGCAUGGAAAAAAUCUCUGUCUUUGACAACUUAAAUCCCUAACGUGAAAAAACCCAACUCGAAUCAGAGGAGUCUCAAGCUGUUCUUUGUUAGAACUCCAGUUGACCAAGUUGAUGGUCUUUAUUUUUACCAGCUUAUCACAUUAAUAGUUGCUUUUCUUCACUUCUUGCCCCAUCUUGUUCCCCAGUGAGAGAACAUUCAGACUUGCACCAGGCAGAAUGUUAGUCGCAUGCUCUUGGAAGGAAACAUGCAGAGCAAACAAUGAAACGAGGCUGUUUAUAAAGCCUUCAACACAUUAGGCAGUGGAGAAGCGCCCAAGUUUCCACGUAAAGGCCUGAAUGGACAAGGAUGACGUGAAACACAUGGAAAAUAUGGAAAAUGUGGAAUGGAAGAAUUUAUAUCCAAAUGGACCAUCUAAAAGGGCAGCAGAAGCCCAGAGGAGUGAAGCAACGUGCCCAAAGUCAUUAUGAGAACCAAAGUGUGCACACAAAGCACAGUGCCAUGGUCUGAGAAAAUUAAAUGCUGAGUUAUAUGAAACUGUCCCUUUGCUGUUGUCAACAGCUUGGAAAAGUUUCCUUUGAUACCACUGUGAUGACUUGUUUUGCUGCGCUAGCAAUAAAAGAGAAAAAAGGGGAGAGGGGAGUACAAGCAGUGUAUGAAUUGCAGCUAUUCUUCAAGGUGAAAGAUCUGAAUUUCCAUUUCCCUGUGCCAUUAGGACUGAUACGGGUCUGACUGGCCAGUAUAUGGUGAAAAAGUCCCUCCGUGUGCCAGUAUUGAAAACUGUUUGUGCAUUAGUUGGAGUCUUUGCCAGUGAAAUAAUAUCGUCCCCUUUGUUUAUUAUAUUGAAACUCGAUAAAAGAAAGUGUCGGAGGGGGAAAAAAAUAAGUUUGCGGUGUGAAAUGAAUGUUCUCGUCUGGGCUCCAGGAUGCAGCCGUGAGUAACGUCUGUGGCAUCGCUGGGCGACCUACUGCAAAAAAUAAGUUAUUGUGCUGCAGCUGUAAUCUGGGGGUUUGCUGGGAGAGGGACAGCCCGUGUUUUGCCAAGGGACCGCCACGCUCCAUCAGUUGUGGGGCCUGUCCCUUUUCAGGGGCAUUGCCUCCUGGGGUGAUGGGGGUGGCAUAGACUCUGUAAGUAACUCAAGUCCAGAUCUAGAUGCUCCACACUGUUAUUCCCGAAAAAGGCAGACCCAUGCAAGCUUGUUCUGAAGCCCAGCAUUAUCUCGGUGCCUCAGCACUCAGAAUAGAUGCUAUUCCCCCCAUUCUUUUUCUGAAGAAGUGACUACAUGUUGGAGAUAUUUCUGGAUCAAAAGCUAGCUUUGCUGCAUUGAAAAUUAGCAGGAAAGACCCCAACCAAAUGAAGUGUCCUUUUCAAAUGAGAAAGCUAGAUGCUGUGUGCUGUCAAUGUGCUUGCAAGUUGAUGGAACCCCUUUACAAUACAGUGGCAAGGAAUUCCUUUAAAUUACAAAAUCAAAGCAAAGCCAAAACAAAACCAAACAACCCCCUCCAAGCCCAAAAGGUCCCUGUACAAAAAAAGGCUAUAAAAAAAUCUCACAUGGCUGAAAUGCUGCGAGAUUCCAAAAGUAUUAAGCAACAUCAAUUUGUAAGGGGGAGGAAAAGUAUUAGUCAGAUUAUAGAUGCUUUGGGCCAGUCCUCACAAUUUUAUUUCACAUCUGUAAGUGUUAGCACUGAGGGCUCUCACUCUGUGACAGGGGACCUAGGUGUUAAUUCAAUAGGAACUGUAAUAAUAGCAACAACAACAGCAAUAACACCAGUAGAAAUAUUGGCAUCCACCUCACCCAGCUCAGCACACACGCCACUGGACUACCAGACUAUAUUGAUUUUUACCUGGGCAGCUAUAAUGUGUGACUGCAUGGAUGAAUACAAUAAAGCAGAAAGGCAACGGUAGCACAAUACGACGUGGCCGUAUUGCAUUUUCUGGAGCCUGAGCUGGCACAGCUCUGGGAGGG